rnacentral:lncRNA from 1 species
AUACUUUUAGUCGCUUGAAUUAAGCAUAAAUACUAUCGGAACAAAUUUUGAAAACCAAAAGGGGAUAAAAGUAUAACGAAAAACAGUUUCACAUUACAUUCUUUGUGCUCUUUGAUCUGGUUUUCCCUAUUCUGCUUAGGUCAACCUUUGCUAUUUAAGGAAGAAGUGCAAACUUUUAUGAGGAUUGGAAGGGAAGGAAGUGACACUUAUUCAAACAAGGCACUUAAACCAUAUAUAUAAAGGAUGGUGUUAUUUACACAUAUCUAAUUUUUAGUUGUCUGAUCGAAUGAAUUAAAAAAAAAAUUAAUAGACAAAAAUUAAUAAAAAUAUGUAAAAAGUAGAAAUGGUGUGUGAAUAGCCUACUGCUUAUCAAUUACCAUUGAUAUAUGAUGUAGUUAACAUGAUACCUGCUUUGGAUUUUUUUAGGUCAUAAUGAUCUAACUUCCACCACAUAUUAUUAUUUAUAUAUGAUUUGAAGGUUCAGUGUUCCUCGUCCAAGUUUACAAGUUCAUCAUUAUUCUUUCAUGACGACGUAUCAUGUACUGCCACCCUCCCUCCCCCCCCCCCCCCCCGCAAAAAAAACACACACACACACACAAUAAGCAACUCUUUUAACCAUACAUACUUAGCGGAGUUACCUCUAAACACAAUUUUUCACCUUAUCGAAACCUCAUUUUCUUGUAGCUCUCAGUUUUUCUUUGAUCCAGUCAAUCUGAUAGCAAUAUGGAGGGGUGUGCAGGAGAACAAAAAUAAUGUGCAUAAAUCAUUUUCCUACAAUUAAUUAGUCUGAAUUAUCAAAUCUCGAUUAUUAUAUAUGAAUGACAAAUAAGUGGUAGCUAGUUUUUCAUAUUAUAUAUCUAAUUAUUCUUGAUCAUUAUUAAACUUUUCAUUUUGUGGCUAUGCAUGACCUCCUCGCAAAUUUUGUAUAGAAAAGAUGAAUGCUAAAAGAAGAUUAGAUCAAUUAAAAAAGUGGUGUUGCCAAAUCUCAGAGCCAGACAGCAACUUGCAGACAAAUAUUCUGAAUGGCUUGUUGUAUAUAAAAACAUAGUUCAGCAUUCUGUGAUUCUAUCCUUAACCUUUAUUAAUCACUAUUAUAUAACAAUGCAUGGUUUAGGUGCUUCCCCACUACAUAAAACUUCCAUUUUGCUUCUAAAUUCCAAAGGCAACUGGAUAAGAUCAGUGAGUGUGAUUAAGGAACAAUUCAAUAAAACCAUCUGCUAAACAUGAACCUAAACUCGUGUUCAACUUUUCAAUUGAAAGAUGGAAAUAGCACAGUCCAUUGUGUCACGUGUAGUUUCAAAACUUCUUACGAUUAGUGGUAAUAGCAUCAAUUUGAAUUGCUUUUCAAGAUGGGCAAGAAAGAUGUACUUUUAGCAUAUGAUGGUAAGAGGAAAAUGUUGGGUAAUGUAGUCUUAUAUGGUGUCUUGUCCAACAGUUCAAUAGGAUAAUGUUAAUAUCGUGAUUUACUUUUCAUCUUAGUUAGAAUUUUAUAGACAAACAUAACAAUACAGUGUAAUCGAAAUAUCGACAAUAUUAAUAAUAUAUACGACAUAUUGAUAAAUAAUGUAUUCAUAUAUUUGUCGAUAUUAAGCAGCCAACCAUGACAAAUGGUCAUGCAUCAUGACCCAAGGUUCUCUCCCUGAGAAGAGGUGGCAUUGCAUACCCUAGUAAAAAAGUAAAUCAACAAAGAUAAAAGAACUACCUAAAAUGUGCCAAACAAUUUCCCACGGAUAGGCCUAUGUAGCUCCUCUCCAUGACCAAACAUAUAUUUGAUCAUCAAACACAACCUCAUUAUAAAUCAAAAUAAAAAUCCCACAGAGAGAAGAAAAUUGAAAAUUUUGGGGUCCUACAUUAAAAGAAAACAACAAAAGAAUAAAGAGAGAAAGCAAAAGACAUGAUUCACAAGAACAUGCAGCCAUGGCUGCUACAAUGGUGUUCUUCUUUCUCCCAAAGUUUUUGUGUUUUUUUUUUUUUGGCGAACAAGUUUUUGUGUUUGUGCCUA